AUCUAGCUCUCUGAAGGAAAGUCACUCUUCUAGAGAGCUCACCAUGGCCUGGAUUCUGAUUUACCUGGCACUUCUCAGCUACUGCUCGGGUAAGAGUAUGAAUGACACAUUUCAUAUAGGCCUACAUCAGAUCUGUUUUAAUUGUGAACCUAUCACAGGAAUAAGGGAUGCGGGUGGCGCUGUGGGUUAAACCACAGAGCCUAGGACUUGCCGAUCAGAAGGUCAGCGGUUCGAAUCCCCGCGACGUGGUGAGAUCCCGUUGCUCAGUCCCUACUCCUGCCAACCUAGCAGUUCAAAAGCACGUCAAAGUGCAAGUAGAUAAAUAGGUACCGCUCUGGUGGGAAGAUAAACGGCAUUUCCGUGUGCUGCUCUGGUUCACCAGAAGUGGCUUAGUCAUGCUGGCCACAUGACCCAGAAGCUGUACGCCAGUUUCCUCGGCCAAUAAAGUGAGAUGAGUGCCGCAACCCCAGAGUCGGUCACGACUGGACCUAAUGGUUAGGGGUCCCUUUACCUUUAUCUAUCACAGGAACAUCAUGCUUCUGUGAUAUUUCAGCGCAUGGCAAAUAUACCCAAGCCCUGGUUUCUUUUCCUUUUCUUUUUGUAAAGGUGUCUGUUCACAACCAAGUUUGAUUCAGCCUGCUUCUGAGUCUAUCUCUCCAAGCCAAACCGUUAAAAUCUCCUGUUCUGGAAAUGGUGGUCGUAGCUGGCAAGCAUUUCACUGGUAUCAACAGAAAUCUGGACAGGCUCCUCGCUUUGUGUUUGCUGGUUCUGGCACCCGGGGAGAAGGGAUUCCGGAUCGGUUCACUGGUUCUUACUCCAGGAACACUGGCUAUUUAACUAUCACCAAUAGCCAGCCUGAAGAUGAGGCGGUUUAUUACUGUUGUGGCUUCGAGCAUGGCAGUAGCACGUUC